GCCUCCGUUUGCCGGGAGCGGAGCGCGGGGCUCCCCGCCAGCCUUGAGGAGGACGGUGGCGCCGCGCCCGCCUCAGGCCGCUCCCCCCUGUCAGGGCUCCGGGGACCGGGGGGAGCCCAUCCCCUGGUGUGGGGGGGGCUCGGACCGGGGGCUCAGUGCGCGGUGGGGCGGGGGAAGGCCCAGCCGGGCUCUCCCUGCGCCGGGCUCCGGCUGUUCUCACGUCGUGGUUCCGGCCCCGCCGGUAACGCCGGGCGGGGGGCUGAGGGGGGAUUUAUAGCAAACCCCCCGUUAGAACUGUGUCGGAGCGUUGUUGGCCAGCAGCAGCCGAGCUCCGUGCGGGGCUGGGCUCUGCCGGCCCCCCGGUGGGGGCAGAGCUGGGAGGAGGAGCGCAGGUUGAUGGUGGAAGCGGGGUUUGGCUUGGGAAUGGUGAUUCCUGGAAGGAGGAAUCACUGCCGUUCUCCACUGUGCCACCUCGCAACGCAGCUCUAACACACCAUUGAGGGGGGGGAAAUAACCUCUGGAGUUUAAUCCUUUGUUUCACACGUUUUAGCCGAAGCACAGCCGGAUUCCCAAAGGGAUUCCCAGCGGGAUUCCUGGCGGGAGCUUUCCCUGUCAGGAUCCAGUGGAUCACAGUUAACAUGGCCUCCCCUCGCCGCUGCUACCGGCGGCACUUGGAGAGACUUAACCCCAAAAGCCGUUGCCUGUUGCCGGGGCCGAGGGGAUGGGCUGAGAGCCGCAGCUCUUCAGUGAUGGCCUCACCAGCGAGUGCUGGGAAACCUCUUCCACUGCACAAACAGGGCUGCAGAGCCUCCUCCUUAACAAAAUCCCACUUCUCUUGUGGCACAAGAGGCUCACCAGGACAUCCUGAGAGCGGUGUGGAUGUGUCCUCGGAACAGAAAGCUCAGGAAUGAGAGGCAGGCAGUGCAAGUGGAGUCUCAGGCAGGACAGCAGGGUUGCUGGCAGCACCAAGUCCAUGCCGUAGAAAACCUGGCUCAUCAAACAGCUUUAAUGGACCUGGGGACUAAUUGUCACGUUGGCAACUCGCUCGUUGAAGCCUCUGCAGGCCCGGAGGGACAGCAGCGUUGAGGGGCAGGGUUCUGGCUUCACCUCACACCAACAUUGUGACACGAGGCUGUUCAGUUGAACUGCUUCCUUUUUGCCUUCGUUUCCUUGCAGCGAGCAGCAUCUUCAAGGAACUGGCGCGUCCUUGCACUGCUUUGCCUCUGCGCCAGGGAGGAAUGACCGUAGCCACAAGUGAGAGGGUUUAAUCCCCUUUUCGUUUGAGUUCAUGCCAUAAUCCCAGGGCAGAAAUGCCAUCCUUCCCUCCAGGAGACCCUUGGGAAGGGAGGAACUUUGAAAGCCCUUUAGCCAAGAGAGUCUCCCCGUGCUCCAUGAGGCUGAUUUGCCACAAAGCUGCCUCAGCCGUGAGCCUCUUCCUGCCGCUCAGCCCGAGUCGAGCUCCAACAGGCAGAUUCCUGCUGCCGCGGGCCCGUUGGGGAGGUGCUGCCGUGCCAGCGGCGCUCCCGAGCUCACCGGAGGAGCCGGAAUAGAGGCCAGUUGGCUCCAACAAGCCGGGAAAGACCAAAGUGGUGGCAGGGAUGUGCUUCAAAGGCUUGGCAGGCACGGCGGCCUUGCCCUCCAGCGAGGUACUUGCCCUCGACUAGUUACGGCAGCGCUGCCGCCGUGGCGGGAGGGACUAACUGCUGCCCGUGCUCCCACAUCAGAGCGCGGCGGCUCCCUGCUCUCUGCCCAGCUCCUGGAUUUGGUUGGUUCCUCUCAACCCGGGGAGCUCGUGUCCUCCAGCACAGCUCCGAACCCAGCUCCAGGGCCCAUGGGCAGGCUCCGGAGCGGGAGCUCAGCCCUCGGCCCAGGAGGUGGAGCCCAGACGAGCUCCUCGGCCGUUACUGAGCCACGCGGAGGUUUCAAAGGUCCCCGGAUGCCGUCAGUGUCUGCCGGGAGGUUUGGGCACAGGAGCUGGAAGGGGCCUUUGCAAGGAGACAUGUUCUUCAGCACCUCUGGAUGUGGGGGUCGGGGUAACCUGGUUUGUGUGAAGGCUCAGUUUUGUUAAAACAGAGCCCGGAAUAAAGCAGGAAAAGUUGGUGGAGUCA